rnacentral:rRNA from 1 species
GACGAACGCUGGCGGCGUGCCUAAUACAUGCAAGUCGAACGGUUUAGUUCCAAGAGGCACGUCUCUUGGAACUAAGCAGUGGCGCACGGGUGAGUAACACGUAAGCCACCUACCUGUCAAACCGGGAUAACCUCGGGAAACCGAUGCUAACCCCGGCUAAGCUCCUUUUUCGCCUGAAGGUGUAGUGACCAGGUGCGACCUGAUGACAGAUGGUCCUGCGGCACAUUUGCUGGUAGGUAGGGUAACGGCCUACCUAGGCGAUGGUGCGUGGCCGACAGGAGAGGGCGUACGGCUACAAGGGGAAUGAGAUACGGCCCAGAAUGCGACGGGAGGGAGCAGUAGGGAAGACUAGGCAAGGGGGGAAAGUCUGACCGAGCAACGCCGGGUGAGUGAGGAAGGCGGUUGGGGUGUAAAACUGUGGUGUUUGGGAAGAAGGGAGAGGGUAGGACCCUUUGGUGACGGUACCAAAAGAGAAAGCGCCGGCUAACUACGUG